CUUGCUGGAGAUUAUUGCACACCUGAGGCCUUCUGAAGAUUUGUGUUGCAGCUGCAUUAAUCAUGAACUGUAGCUUUCAUGUUGGCAAAUCUGUGGGUACUAGGCAUGAAGAACCAAACUCCAUGUUGUCAGGUCACAUUAUCUCCAGGAUUUCUUACAGGCAAAUUGUGUCCUGAACGCUCUGCAUGAUUCACCAAAAAAGGUCUUUCUCCAUGUAAAGCAUCAUCUUCCAUUAAGCAGGAGAAAUAAACCACUGCAUGCAAACGAUGUGAACACGUGGCUUAUGAAUAAGCAGAACAAUUUUAGGAAAAUCACCUCAGAGCAUGGCAAACAACAAUAACGCAAUCAGAUCAGUACUCUUGCUCGUCCAAGACCAAAGCAAGUGGUCUUCUCUUGGUGAAAAGGAGAAACAGCUCAUGGCUUGUUAUCAGUAAUGCUCCCAGGCUGCUAUUUCUGUCCUGAGCUCUGGACCCACUGGACAUCGCUUUCUUAUGGUUUCUUUAUGGUUACUCAGCCAGGCCUGAGAGUGGUGCACAAACAUUUCCAGGAUGUUUUGGAAGAUACUACCAAAACUGUACCAGAAAGCAAAAACAAAACUGCAAGAGAUUUCAUCAACUCUGCCAGGUCCCCAUUGGAGGUAUUUCCUUGGCCUUGUAGAACAGAAAUCAGUCAUUUGUGUGUAGAUGAAAAAUGAGAAUCAGUUACUGGAGUUCAAAGUCAUCACAACCAAAUUAAAUAGAAAAUGAAAUAUUUUAAGAAGCAACCUAUAGUAAGUGGAUUUGAAUUAGCUGCAGAUAUGGACAAUUUUCUUUCCAUCACCUGACCAUGUAAAAUAUCUACUUGAAUUGAAUUCUCCCUUUAUAUCACCUCUUUCCUUUAUUUCCUGUCAUAGAUUCAUAGAUGUGUGAUUAAACUAUCAGUUCUGAUAUCCCCCAAAAAUGAUGAAGGAAGAUUACGCCAUAAAUCAUAAAUCCUUCUUUCCACUUGUCUGUGAGAUUUAGACAGCUUUCAAAUUUUCCCCUAGUGAUUACAGCAAAUUGUAAUAGAGAUAAAACAUAAAGUGUUUAUAGGUAUUUUUUAGAGGCCAUAAGAUUUAUGAGAUCAUUUUAUAGUGAUAAUUUUGAUGACAAAUGCGGUCAUAGGUUUUUUUGUUGUUGUUGUUAUUGCUUUUAUUUUCACUUGCUAUGAAGCUGUUAGUUUAAAACGCCACUUAAAUUUUUAACUUUUUUUUUGCCAACAGAAAUGAAAAGAUGGCAUCCCACUGAGCUCCUUGCAUAAUUU